GCUGGCGGCAUGCCUAACACAUGCAAGUCGAACGGUAACAGGAGAGAGCUUGCUCUCUUGCUGACGAGUGGCGAACGGGUGAGUAACGCGUAGGGAUCUAGCCUAGAGAGGGGGAUAACCCGAGGAAACUCGGGCUAAUACCGCAUACACUCUGCGGAGGAAAGUCUGCCAUUUAGGUGGUGGAGCUUUAGGAUGAACCUGCGUCCGAUUAGCUAGUUGGUGAGGUAAAGGCUCACCAAGGCGACGAUCGGUAGCUGUUCUGAGAGGAAGGUCAGCCACACUGGGACUGAGACACGGCCCAGACUCCUACGGGAGGCAGCAGUGGGGAAUAUUGGACAAUGGGGGCAACCCUGAUCCAGCAAUGCCGCGUGUGUGAAGAAGGCCUGAGGGUUGUAAAGCACUUUUGUUAGGGAGGAAAGGAUAGAGUUGAAGAGGCUUUAUCUGUGACGUUACCUAAAGAAAAAGCACCGGCUAACUCUGUGCCAGCAGCCGCGGUAAUACAGAGGGUGCAAGCGUUAAUCGGAAUUACUGGGCGUAAAGGGC
rnacentral:rRNA from 1 species